UUUAAUUGAAGAGUUUGAUCAUGGCUCAGAUUGAACGCUGGCGGCAGGCCUAACACAUGCAAGUCGAGCGGCAGCGACA
rnacentral:rRNA from 1 species